AGAUUGCAUCAGAUUCACAUAUGCUUGUUUUCCACUGGGCAGUCCCUGGGUGUUAAAAGAGAUGAUCUAGCCGACAUGGCUUUCAGGGACCCCUUGCCUUCUGUAAUGGGUAGUGGAGCCCUGAAGCUGCAAGCAGCCAUCUUGCUACCAUAAAGCUUGCAUGAUGCAUCUUGAAGCCAAAGCGAAGCAAGCUGAGAUGCUGGGGAGCCUGCUGAAAGCAUCAUUUGAAUCUCUCUCUAAGGCGUGUCUGAAGCAAGGACUACCACUUCUUCUUUUGCUGCUUCAGCUAGUGCUUCAAAGGAUUUGGAAUCCCUUUGUUCUGAGUUCAUUUCAACUACUAAUGGUGGGAAAGGAGAACAUUUCCUAAAUUGGAUGAAUU